GCAUACUUCACACUACUUCUAUAAUUAUACCUACAACCAUCUCUUACAAUUCUAAUCACUCUAAACUUUAUUUGAGUGGUCCGUUGUUACACACACCUACAAUAAAGCACACAACAUUAGUUAAAACAUGCAACAUUAGUUAAAAUAUGCAAGAUGAUCUCAACACACACAAGAUCUCUUGAAAACCAACCUGAAUCCUCUACUGCCUCCAAUGAUCACAAUGCACAUUUGCAACAGUUGAAUGAUCAAAUCCAUGAAUGAGAGCAGCAAUUAGCUAUUCUGCAUGCACAACAGCAGCUCAACAAGUUGGAAGUGCAGAUUCAUAGAGAUACUCUUAUCAAGUCUCAAUUAAUUCAGAAUACCACCACAGAACCACUGCAAAAUCAAUCUGUGAACAAUAUGAAUGAUGAUAAUGAAACACCACUGAGGUUGGAGAUUAAGGACUAUUAUUGAGGAAAAAAUAUGUUAGAAUUCAAGAACUAUAAAGAUUGCAUGCUGACUCUCUUUACACAUCACUGCUGAUAUUAUUGAAAGAAAGAACACAAGAUAAAUGAUGCUAAACUCUAUCUUGAUGCCCAUAUUAAGCAGAAAUGGUUGAAUUUUGUAUCAUCAUAUGAGAGACAUGGAGGAGCAACAUCAUUGACUUUUGAUGAUAUGUUAUCACACCUAGAAAUGCAAAUUAACAAUCCACAGAAUCAGCACUGAUUGACAAGCCAAAAAUUUCAAGAUGCAAAGCAACAAGAAUGGCAAUCAAUACACAAUUUCUCUAAAUAUCUCAAAGACUGAGAAUACUACUUACCCCCAUAUAGUGAAGAACAAAGAAUGGAUAACUUGCAUA
rnacentral:sRNA from 1 species